UACGGGGGGGGCAAGCGUUGUUCGGAAUUACUGGGCGUAAAGCGCGCGUAGGCGGCUUUGCAAGUCGGGUGUGAAAUCCCCAGGCUUAACCUGGGAACUGCAUUCGAGACUGCAUUGCUAGAGUAUGGGAGAGGGGAGUGGAAUUUCCGGUGUAGCGGUGAAAUGCGUAGAUAUCGGAAGGAACAUCAGUGGCGAAAGCGACUUCCUGGACCAAUACUGACGCUCAUGUGCGAAAGCGUGGGGAGCAAACAGG
rnacentral:rRNA from 1 species